ACAGUAUUUAUUUAUUUAUUUAUUUUGUUGUUUAAAAUGAAAUAUUAAAAGUAAUUUUAUAGUAGAAUGUUUUAGUAGUUUUUGAUGAAAAAAUAAUGUUUAUAAUAGUUAAUUGGUAUUGUGAAAGAAUGUUGAAAUAAGUUGAAAAAUUUUUGUGCCAGAAGAAAAUCUAGUUUGUUGUACCUUGGGUAUCAGGGUUUAUCAAAUAGUUAAUAGUUAUGUUUAUUGAUCUCGAUGUAAUAAGAGUUACUAAUUUAUGGAAGUUAAUGUAUCAUAAUUAUUUGUAAUAAAUUAGUAGAAAUGAAAUGUUAUUCGUUUAUUAGGGUAUCUGGUUUUUUUAGAAAUAAAUUUAAUUUACAAAUUUUUGACGCUUUUGGUUAAUUUUCUAACCUUUAGCUUUAUUAAUUUGAAUAUCUUAAGGGAUAAGCUUUUAGAUAUAUUGUUAAAAAUUAAUAGGGGUUAAUAUAAAGUGUAUGCUUAGAAUUAGCAAUCGUUUUGAAGUUUGUUAUAAAUUAUUUUAUGAAUUAUAUUAUUUAUUAUAUUUUAAUUUAUUUAUAGAAAUUUUCUUAUUAAUAAAUUAUAGGAAGAAAUAAUGAUAGAAUUAGUAUAUUUUGUGUUUAAGUAAUUUUUUAUGAUAAGUUUAUAUAAAGAAUUCGGCAAAUUUUUUACCCGCCUGUUUAACAAAAACAUGUCUUUUUGAGUUAUUUUAAAAGUCUGGCCUGCCCACUGAGGUAUUUAAAGGGCCGCAGUAUUCUAACUGUGCAAAGGUAGCAUAAUCAUUAGUCUUUUAAUUGGAGGCUGGUAUGAACGGUUGGACGAGGUAUAAGCUGUUUCAUAUAAAUUUAUAAUAGAAUUUUAUAUUUUAGUUAAAAAGCUAAAAUGUUGUUAAAAGACGAGAAGACCCUAUAAAUCUUUAUACUUUACUUUAUUUAAGUUUUGUAGAUUUAUUUUAUUUUUAUAUUGGGGAGUAUUUUAUUGGGGUGAUAUUAAAAUUUAAUUAACUUUUAAUUGUAUUUGGUUCAUUGAUUUAUGAUUUAUUGAUCCGUUAUUAGUGAUUAUGAGAUUAAGUUACUUUAGGGAUAACAGCGUAAUUUUUUUGGAGAGUUCAUAUCGAUAAAAAAGUUUGCGACCUCGAUGUUGGAUUAAGAGAUAUUUUUAGGUGUAGCCGCUUAAAUAUAAAGUCUGUUCGACUUUUAAAUUCUUACAUGAUCUGAGUUCAGACCGGCGUGAGCCAGGUUGGUUUCUAUCUUUAAUAAAUUACAAUAUUUUAGUACGAAAGGACCAAGUAUUGGAAUAAUAAUAUUUUUAUAGUAGAAUAUAAUUAAUUUUAUUU
rnacentral:rRNA from 1 species